UGGGGAAUAUUGCACAAUGGGCGCAAGCCUGAUGCAGCCAUGCCGCGUGUAUGAAGAAGGCCUUCGGGUUGUAAAGUACUUUCAGCGGGGAGGAAGGUGUUGAGGUUAAUAACCUCAGCAAUUGACGUUACCCGCAGAAGAAGCACCGGCUAACUCCGUGCCAGCAGCCGCGGUAAUACGGAGGGUGCAAGCGUUAAUCGGAAUUACUGGGCGUAAGGCGCACGCAGGCGGUCUGUCAAGUCGGAUGUGAAAUCCCCGGGCUCAACCUGGGAACUGCAUUCGAAACUGGCAGGCUAGAGUCUUGUAGAGGGGGGUAGAAUUCCAGGUGUAGCGGUGAAAUGCGUAGAGAUCUGGAGGAAUACCGGUGGCGAAGGCGGCCCCCUGGACAAAGACUGACGCUCAGGUGCGAAAGCGUGGGGAGCAAACA
rnacentral:rRNA from 1 species